ACAGGUUUUUGAAGGUGGGAAGGAGAGAGUCUGAGAAUGGAUAGAAGAAACAAUGUGAGAGGACGAGUGUGUAUGCGAGGUGGGUGACAAGGAGGAGGAAGACGAAGAGGAAGACGAAGAGGAAGAGGAAGACGAAGAGGAAGAGGAAGACGAAGAGUGGAAAUAUCUGAUGAAAUUCGAGCAACAGUUAUAGACCAUGUUAUUGUCCAUGGACUGACAAUGAGGGAAGCAGGACUUAGAGUGCAACCCAAUUUGAGACGAUUUUCUGUGUCCAUUCAGAGAAGAGAACAGGAUGCGAAUGAAACAAGUAUACAGAGUACCUUUUGAGCGCAACUCACCAAGGGGGAAAGAACUGUGAGCUCAGUAUGUGCAAGUUCAGAUGUGAAGCUCUUGCAGUCCCCAUUGGAGGAUGAUAUGGCUACGGUAGUAACUCUGGAGAGGACAAACGAAGUGGGGACCAUGAAGUGUCUCAUCUGAAUCAUCAACUCAGCCAGAAGCCAUGAAUCUUCUAUCAGCCUGUCAAGUCAAAGAUGAGUGUUGGAUGUGUGAGAGUUCACUUUUUUUGAGCCAUUGGUCAAGUUGGCUGUCCUUGGACACGAUCGCUGCUCUCGGACCUGAUGACCAGGGUUUGAGUGCUGACGUUACCAUAUAGCCCCUCUGAAUUGCUGUUAGACUGCCACAUGCAGUGGCUCAUUUGGAUGUGUUUGAUGUCUUGAAGCUUGACUUCCCUACGUUUCUCCUACAACUGGGCCUGGAGCUCGUUUAAAGAUUCUAGCAGGGGAGUGCAGCUCCACGUCUACUAAUGGGGAAGUAUGGAGCGAUGAGGGAGAAAGGGAACGCCUGCCCAGCCAGCCUAAUCAACUCAAUAAAUGGUGUGACAUGUUGCAGCCAGAUUGCCCUCACAUUUUAAUCUGAUGCAGAAUCUGUCCGCCAACUGCUCUUCAAAGAGAGUCAAUGUUUUUUCUGGCCAGCGGUUACAGUUGCUGCACUCAAUCAUGGUGACAGGGAUUCACGUACCGGCAACAACAUUAGCAUUUAACCCCUCGUGAUGUGUUUUUUUUGUUGACAUUUUUUACUCUUUUACAACAAGGGUGUGUGCAUGUCUUGAAUGAGCUGCGUUUUCACUGUAUUCCUUUUCUUGGAAGAGGAAGCAUGUUCAAAGUUUUUCUAUUUAUUUAUUUUUACGGAGUGACUUCGGUUAGCACCGUCUACUAUAUUUUAAGCGUACUGCCUGAGGUUUCAGUAUGGCUUUUGUUGUUCAGUCAGAAUAGACUUUUCCCACAUUUUGUUAAGUUACAGCCUUAUUCUAAAAUUGAUAAAUAAAUCAUCCAUCUACACACAAUACCCCAGAAUGACAAAGCAAAAACAGGUUGAGAAAUGUUUUUCCAUUUAUUAACAAUAAACUGAAAUAUUACAUUUACAUAAAUAUUCAGACCCUUUACUCAGUACUUGUUGAAGCACCUUUGGCAGCGAUUACAGCCUCGAGUCUUCUUGGGUAUAACGCUACAAGCUUGGCACACCUGUAUUUGGGGAGUUUCUCCCAUUCUUCUCUGCAGAUCCACUCAAGCUCUGCCAGAUUGGAUGGGAAGUGUGGCUGCACAGCUAUUUUCAGGUCUCUCCAGAGAUGUUUGACUGAGUUCAUAUCUGAGCUUAGUUGGGCCACUCAAGGACAUGCAUAGACUUAUCCUGAAGCCACUCCUGCGUUGUCUUGGCUGUGUACUUAGGGUCGUUGUCCUGUUGGAAGGUGAACCUUCGCCGCAGUCUGAGAACCUGCUCCAGAGCACUCAGGACUUCAUCAAGGAUCUCUGUUCUAUGCUCAGUUCAUCUUUCCCGCAAUCCUGACUAGUCUCCCAGUCCAUGAUGCUGCUAGCAUCAUGCUUCACCGUAGGGAGGGUGCCAGAUUUCAUCCAGAUGUGAUGCUUGGCAUUCAGGCCAAAGAGUUCAAUCUUGGUUUCAUCAGACCAGAGAAUCUUGUUUCUCAUAGUCAGAGUCCUUUAGGUGCCUUUUGGCAAACACCAAGCGGGCUGCCAUGUGCCUUUUACUAAGUAGUGGCUUCCAUCUGGCCACUCUACCAUUAAAGAAUAAUCAAGGCCACUGUGUUCUUAGGGACCUUCAUUGCUGUAGAAUUGUUUUGGUACCCUUCCCCAGAUCUAUGCCUCGACACAAUCCUGUCUCGGCGCUCUACGGACAAUUACUUUGACCUCAUGGCUUGGUUUUUGCUUUGACAUGUACUGUCAACUGUGGGAUCUUAUAUAGACAGGUGUGUGCCUUUCCAAAACAUGUCCAGUCAGUUGAAUUUACCACAGGUGGACUCUAAUCAAGUUGUAGAAACAUCUCAAGGAUGAUCAAUGGAAACAGGAUGCACCUGAGCUCAAUUUCAAGUCUCAUAGCAAAUGGUCUAAAUUCUUAAGUAAGUAAGGUAUUUCUGUUUUUCAUUUUGAAUACAUUUACAAACAUUUCUAAACCUGUUUUCACUUUAUCAUUAUGGGGUAUUCUGUGAACAUAGAUGAACAUAUUUGAUUCAUUUUAGAAUAAUACUGUAAUGUAACAAAAUGUGGGAAAAGUCAAGGGGUCUGUAUACUUUCUGAAUGCACUAAAUGUAGCAGCUGUCUUCUAUUUGGUACUGCCUGUAGUCUCAUGGUUAUUGAUGAGUAUGAUUGUUGGCCCCGUUGCCACUAACUCAAUGUUACUCUUUUCUGAUUCAUUCCCACUGUAUGAGGGGCUCCGAGCCCCUCUAGGUAGCACCCACCUGCCUGACGUCAACCCCUCCCUGCCUGGCUUGGUGCCUGGCCUGUCCAACCCCAGGCCCCCAGUCCUGCUCUGCCUGUGACCCUGCCCAGUUUCUGGAUCUUUGCUGCCCCAAUCGUACCUGCUUUUUGUCCAGUCUCCAAGAUAUGUGUCUCCAGUACCAAGAUGACAUUUACCAUGUACAGAUGUAGGUUCUUAAUUUGAUCAUACACUCUUUUGUUUCUGAGAAUUUUCCUGUACAGUAGGAAAUGUAAACUUGUAGUGUAAUCGAGUUUUAAAAACGCUUCUAAAGUUUAACAUCUCCACUUUCAAACGUCAUGAUUUGCCUUAACAAAAAAUGUAGCAACCUCUACAAAGAUGUCCAUGACUUAUAAUUAAAAAAUUUUGUUGUGCAGGAUUAUUUACUAGCUGUAGCAAACUGGCUCAAAUUAAGAUCCUACACCUGUAAGAACUUUAAAUGUUAAAACAAUUAUUUUAUUUAGCUUUUCCAUCAUUGCUAAAUGUCUACUAUGUUUACCUCUUAUCUUUUGUGAUAACUCACUUUGGUUUACAGGUAUUUUAGCACUGGGCCUAUUGUCAGUAAACCUUAAAAGUAACAUUUCAAGUAAAUUAUUAAUUGAUAUAUGUUGAUAAUUUGUGUAUUUUCCAGGCGCUUGCUCGAUUGUCUUAUAAAGGAGAUCAGGGAGAAUUUUCUCCAUAUGGGCUUAAAUGAGUUUCUGUUUUUUUUGCUUUCCUCUGAAAAACAUUAACAUUAAAUAUUGUAAC